rnacentral:rRNA from 1 species
UACGUAGGGUGCGAGCGUUAAUCGGAAUUACUGGGCGUAAAGCGUGCGCAGGCGGUUUUGUAAGCCAGAUGUGAAAUCCCCGGGCUUAACCUGGGAAUGGCAUUUGGGACUGCAAGGCUUGAGUGCGGCAGAGGAGACUGGAAUUCCUGGUGUAGCAGUGAAAUGCGUAGAUAUCAGGAAGAACACCAAUGGCGAAGGCAGCUCUCUGGGUCGGUACUGACGCUGAGACGCGAAAGCGUGGGGAGCGAACAGG